CAAGCAGUGAGGAGUCCGACGAGCAAACCAUAUGGACUUUGUACGGGUUGUUCCAACUGCCCAAUCGCAUUGCCUGCACCUCGGGGUUUGAACCCUCUCUCAACCUCUGCAAGAUGGACUGUGACAGUCUAAUCGAUGACAAUAUCCAAGAUGACAUCAGCUGUGUUGAGACCAUCCUCGACAAAAUGUUGUCAGCAGAAAACAGUAAUGGACAGACUGAAGCGCUUUUCCACAAAUUCAGCGCUGAUUUCUUCCAGAAGACAUGCAUCAAAGUGGAGAACUCCAAGUACUUCUCUACUUGUUAAAGCAGGCAUCAGGCCGAGCAUCUUGACUCAGUUCUACUACAAUUAGUUUCACUUUUCAAAUUCUAACACCUGACUCUGGUUUAGGGGUUUUGAGCUGACGUCAGUUAUAAAAACGAUCACAACGUCGAGACCCCUUUGCUAAUUUGCUUAUAAUUUGUUGUAAAACAGCAACCUCUGCUGGUGAGGACUAAACCUAGUCCCCACUUUCUCACCACAGAUUCCGAUUUCCGGUCAUGCCAAAUUCUGUCUGUUAAACAUUACCAUCACUCUGUUAAAAACACAACCGAAUACAAUUAUCAGCGUAAUAAAUGUCUUAACUUGUAUAGAGUUAACUUGUACACACAUAC